GACGAACGCUGGCGGCGUGCUUUACACAUGCAAGUCGAACGGAAAGGCCCCUUUGGGGGUACUCGAGUGGCGAACGGGUGAGUAACACGUGAGUAACCUGCCCUUGACUUCGGGAUAACUUCAGGAAACUGGGGCUAAUACCGGAUAGGAAUCCUUGCUGCAUGGUGGGGGUUGGAAAGCUUCGGCGGUUUUGGAUGGACUCGCGGCUUAUCAGCUUGUUGGUGGGGUAGUGGCUUACCAAGGCUUUGACGGGUAGCCGGCCUGAGAGGGCGACCGGCCACAUUGGGACUGAGAUACGGCCCAGACUCCUACGGGAGGCAGCAGUGGGGAAUAUUGCACAAUGGGCGGAAGCCUGAUGCAGCAACGCCGCGUGCGGGAUGACGGCCUUCGGGUUGUAAACCGCUUUCAGCAGGGGCGAAGCUUGUGGUGACGGUACCUGCAGAAGAAGCACCGGCUAACUACGUG
rnacentral:rRNA from 1 species